rnacentral:rRNA from 1 species
GAUGAACGCUGGCGGCGUGCCUAAUACAUGCAAGUCGAGCGAACGGACGAGAAGCUUGCUUCUCUGAUGUUAGCGGCGGACGGGUGAGUAACACGUGGAUAACCUACCUAUAAGACUGGGAUAACUUCGGGAAACCUGAUCUAAUACCGGAUAAUAUUUUGAACCGCAUGGUUCAAAAGUGAAAGACGGUCUUGCUGUCACUUAUAGAUGGAUCCGCGCUGCAUUAGCUAGUUGGUAAGGUAACGGCUUACCAAGGCAACGAUGCAUAGCCGACCUGAGAGGGUGAUCGGCCACACUGGAACUGAGACACGGUCCAGACUCCUACGGGAGGCAGCAGUAGGGAAUCUUGCGCAAUGGGCGAAAGCCUGACGGAGCAACGCCGCGUGAGUGAUGAAGGUCUUCGGAUCGUAAAACUCUGUUAUUAGGGAAGAACAUAUGUGUAAGUAACUGUGCACAUCUUGACGGUACCUAAUCAGAAAGCAACGGCUAACUACGUG